AACGCGAAGAACCUUACCUACCCUUGACAUCCUCGGAACCUGGUAGAGAUAUCGGGGUGCCUUCGGGAGCCGAGAGACAGGUGCUGCAUGGCUGUCGUCAGCUCGUGUCGUGAGAUGUUGGGUUAAGUCCCGUAACGAGCGCAACCCCUAUUCUUAGUUGCCAACAGGUUAUGCUGGGAACUCUAAGGAGACUGCCGGUGAUAAGCCGGAGGAAGGUGGGGAUGACGUCAAGUCAUCAUGGCCCUCACGGGUAGGGCUACACACGUGCUACAAUGGGCGGUACAAAGGGAAGCGAAGCCGUGAGGUGAAGCGAAUCUCACUAAAGCCGCUCGUAGUCCGGAUUGGAGUCUGCAACUCGACUCCAUGAAGUUGGAAUCGCUAGUAAUCGCGGAUCAGAACGCCGCGGUGAAUACGUUCCCGGGCCUUGUACACACCGGUACUA
rnacentral:rRNA from 1 species